rnacentral:rRNA from 1 species
GAUGAACGCUGGCGGCGUGCUUAAUACAUGCAAGUCGAACGGACAGGCCCUGAUUUUGCGUGGUGCUUGAUUGCCGAACGGGUGAGUAACACGCGAGUAACCUGCCCUUGACAUUGUGAUAACUUCAGGGAACUGCGGCUAAUACAGCAUAGAAGCUUUUGCAGCGCGGGGGGGGUAGGAAAGUUUCGGCGGUUGGGGAUGGACUCGAGGCUUAGCCGCUUGUUUGUGAGGUAGUGACUUACCAGGUGUUUGACGGGUAGCCGGCCUGGGAGCGUGACCGGCCACAUGGGGACUGAGAGACGGCCCAGACUCCUACGUGACGCAGCAGUCGGGAACAUUGCGGAGUGGGGGGGAGUGUGAUGCAGCGGCGCCGCGAUCGGGAUGCCGGGCUACGGGGUAAAAACCGCUGUCGCAGGUGAUGAGGCGUGCGUGACGGUAAUGAGUAAGGAAGCACCGGCUAACUACGUG